rnacentral:rRNA from 1 species
GACCAAGGAGUCUAACACGUGCGCGAGUCGCAGGGUUGUACGAAACCCGAAGGCGCAACGAAAGUGAACCGAAUCUCACGACUCGGUAGGUGGGAUCCCGUCGUUUCGCUUCGCGGCGAAKCGCGGGCGCACCACCGGCCUGUCUCGGCCGCGACGUCGGCGAGGCGGAGCAAGAGCGUACGCGUUGGGACCCGAAAGAUGGUGAACUAUGCCUGAGGAGGAUGAAGCCAGAAGAAAUUCUGGUGGAGGUCCGCAGCGAUUCUGACGUGCAAAUCGAUCGUCAAACUUGGGUAUAGGGGCGAAAGACUAAUCGAACCAUCUAGUAGCUG